GGCGGAUUUGGCGGUGGACUAGGAGGAGGAUUCGGAGGUGGAUUAGGCGGAUUAGGUGGAGGUUUAGGUGGUGGAUUAGGAAGCAGUGCAUCCCUCAGUGCCAGUCUUGCUGCUCGUCUAGCCCUUUCAAGUGGUGGUCGUGGUGGUGGAUUUGGCGGUGGUGGAUUCCGUGGCGGUCUUGGAGGUGGAUUCGGAGGAAGAAUCGGCGGAGGAGUUGGUGUUGAUGCUGGAUUUGGCAAAAGGAGAUACAGAAGAAGUGCAAGCUUCAACUACAACUAUUAAACCACUGUGGUGUUUAGUAAUGUGUGUGAUGUUUCGGUGUGUGGUGUCCCCGUUCCCGUAUAUUUUGA